rnacentral:rRNA from 1 species
GAUGAACGCUGGCGGCGUGCCUAAUACAUGCAAGUCGAGCGAACAGACGAGGAGCUUGCUCCUCUGACGUUAGCGGCGGACGGGUGAGUAACACGUGGAUAACCUACCUAUAAGACUGGGAUAACUUCGGGAAACCGGAGCUAAUACCGGAUAAUAUAUUGAACCGCAUGGUUCAAUAGUGAAAGACGGUUUUGCUGUCACUUAUAGAUGGAUCCGCGCCGCAUUAGCUAGUUGGUAAGGUAACGGCUUACCAAGGCAACAAUGCGUAGCCGACCUGAGAGGGUGAUCGGCCACACUGGAACUGAGACACGGUCCAGACUCCUACGGGAGGCAGCAGUAGGGAACCUUCCGCAAUGGGCGAAAGCCUGACGGAGCAACGCCGCGUGAGUGAUGAAGGUCUUCGGAUCGUAAAACUCUGUUAUUAGGGAAGAACAAAUGUGUAAGUAACUAUGCACGUCUUGACGGUACCUAAUCAGAAAGCCACGGCUAACUACGUG